ensembl:lincRNA
AAUUGUACAAGCAGCCUCUACAUUUCAAAAACAGAAUCCAUUGAUAAGAGUCCAUUUUAAAGAAACGUCUCCAGGCUUGGGGCAUGAGAUCAUGCCUGUCAAAUAAUUUGUCAGUCUCCAGAUUAGUAAUGGGUGACUUGGCACCCUGGCUGAUGAGCUGGCAAGAGAGAAGCUAUCGUGUGUCAUAUCAGAGACCGCCACAGACACCCAGGGCAAUGUGAUUUGUCACUUGAAGGAGGAGACAGCCUGAGAGCGCCCCAUCCUCCGGCUGCUGAGUCACCCCGCUCCGGUAGUUAUUUAAACAGAAGCCUCCAGCAUACACGCGAUCAACACUCCACUGAGACAAUGGCCAGACCUCCAGAAGUCAUGUCCAGCUCGGACUGCCCACAAGUGCAGUUUUCAAAAAUGCUUGGGGCCUCUUUUCCCCAUAUUCUCACACUGGGGUUCAGACAUCUGGCUCUUUUCCUCAAAACUGGCCUAUCCAGCCAGUCGUCCUUUGAGAAUUCCGGCCACAGAGGCCAUCAACUCCUACUGGAAGUUUUCCUGUGGUCCUUCCGAUCAGACUUUCUUAUAUUUCUUUGAAGUCAACAAAUAUUGGUUGAGCAUCUGUUAUGGGUUAGGGAUGGAGCUACAGGUAAGGGCUGGUUCAAAAACGAGACACACUGCUUGUCUUUUAGGAGCUCACAGUCCAGGGAAAGGGACAGUCAGGAAACCAGGAAACCAGGCAACCACCAUAUAUAUACAAAGGGAUGGCUCUAAGGUGCUGUUGAUGAAAGUGCUAAAGGAGCUGGAUGGGACUGACGUCUUUGGGAAGGGUAAAACUCAGCGUGCGCAUGCAGCUGUCCUGUCCAAGUGCUGUUCUUACCUCCCAAUGGAAAGCCCCAAAGGAAUCACAUGUCUGAUGCAGUGGAAGGACAGUGCCCUAAAAGAAAGGGUGGCAUGCUGGACAGCCAAAAGAACAAACGUCCACUACACGUAAUGUGAGCACCAGGUUUGGAUGCGAUCCAUCUCUGUACAAGACUGGCGGCAAUUCACACCAAGUAGGUUUUUUUCAGCUAUGAUUAGAGACAGCAAUACCUAUCAUCCCUUCAUUUUGUCAAUCUCUUUACUAAAAUUAACCUGUUGUUCUGUGAUUCUAUAAAUCUCAGAAUAAUCUUGUCCUGUUACAGCCAAGUUCUCUAUCAUGGUCAAAAAUACUCACCUGGUUAUUUUGGCUUCUCUAAUCCUGCUAGUGAAAACACCUCCAAGGAAGCUUUUGGUCAGGAGCUGACAAGGGCAUUUAAGGCCACUUGGGCUUUUGAUAAAGAAGAAUUUGAAAGACCAAUAAUAUGUAAUAUCAAUAUGUAUGUAUUUUUUUUACUUGGACCUAGUCACUUCCCUGAUAAGGAUAUUUAAUUCAUACCUGUUACAUCCUAAUUAAUGCCAAGGCCUUUUUAUGCAUUAUGUCAUUUAAUUCUUACAGGAAUCCUUUGAGAUAGGUUAUCAGCUAGGGUGUUUGACUCUAAGUUAUAGGGGAAAAAUAUAUCCAACUGACUAAAACAAUACAGGCACUUGCUGGCUCACAUAACUGGUAGUCUAGACAGAGAACAGCUUCUGAACUGGUUGACAAAUCUAGUGGCUUCAUACUGUCACCAGGUUCCUAUGUCCUAUAGCUGCCCUUACAACCAGUGCUGGUUUCCUAACACCAAUUUUCCGCUGUAGCAUGGCCGUUAGCAGAAAACAUGCUUCUUCUUACUGAGAUCUAGCAAAGGUGAAAGAGUACUCCACCAACAAUGAAAAAAAUGAAGAAAAAAACUGUCUUCUCCUUAUGAUUCACCUUUAGUCUGAUGCUUAUCUCUUAAACAGUAGCUAUUGGGGGUAGAGCUGGGGGUGGAGGGGAAUACUAUGGUAUGAUUAACUCAUCUUGUGAUCCAGAGAAUUAAGAUUAUCUUGAUUGAUUUAGAUGAGUUAUAAUUUACUCCUGGUGCUGGGGCAAUUCUCUGCACCACAAUGCCUACUACAUAGUGAAAAAAGAACAGAUUGAACAUGGGAGAGUUAAUAAUGUGAACUACAGGAAAAUAUUGCUAAUUCCCAAUUUACAGAUGAGAAAACUGACACACACAGAAGGAAGGGUAAAUUAACUUGCUCAAGAAGAUAACUGAACCUGGGUGGUUUAUCUCCAUUCUAAUAGCAAUUAUCUCUUGCAUGCAUUUCUUUUCUUUCUUUUUUUUUUUUAAAGUCAUCUCUACAGCCAAGGUGAGGCUUGAAUUCACAGCCCUGAGAUGAAGAGUAGCUUGCUUCACGGUCAGGUACCCUUUCUGCAGGCAUUUCUUCUGAUGCAUACAAGGAAUUCCAAGAUAAGGAGAAGGGUGUGUAAAGGAAAGACCAUCAAAGACCUGGUUAAAAAGGCAUCAAGAGAUGAGGCUCCAGUCUUUUCUCGCUCACUGACCGUGUGACUUCUGUGAAAAUGAGAAUUAAAAAACCUACAUACUGGAGUAGCGGCAAAUACUCAAAUAGGAACCCAGCAGAAGAGUGGCAUCAUUUGGGAACUUGCUUGAAAUGGAAAUUCUCCAUCCCACCCCAGACUCACUUAAUCAGAAGCGGGGCUGGCGGGAACAGCAAUAAAUACUUUAAUAAGCACUCCAACUAUUUCUGAUGCUUGCUAAAAUCUGAGAACCACUGGGCUCGAACAUCCCCUGGUGCACAAACUUUUAUUUGUUCUUAAGUCUUGAAGAUAAUGAGCAUGUUGUCUUGUAUCUCCAAGAGCUCACAAAGCAGGGAAACAAAAAGUCCCACAUUAAAUUCUUUAAUACAGGACCAUACUGAGUGAUAAGUGAUCGAAUACAAGCUGAAUGUGCUUUGAAAGCUUAUAAGGGGUUGAAUUUAUUUCUAACAAGGUGAAUAUCAGAAGGCUUUAUAGAUAAAAAAUGUUAAAAGGGUAAAAUAGGUAUAAACUGUAAAGUAACGCAGGUAAUUAAACUUCUAGGGAUUACCGCAAAGCUGUAUCUACAAAGUUAACUUAAAAUAUACUCCUGGGUGGCUCAGUUGAUUAAGCAUCUGACUCUUAAUCUCAGCUCAGGCCUUGCUCUCAGGAUCAUGAGUUCAAGCCUUGAGUUAAAAAAUAAUAGUUAGGGGCACCUGGGUGGCUCAGUGGGUUAAAGCCUCUGCCUUCUGCUCAGGUCAUGAUCUCAGGGUCCUGGGAUCAAGCCCCGCAUUGGGCUCUCUCUCUGCCUGUUCCUCUGCCUACUUGUAAUCUCUGUCAAAUAAAUAAAAUCUUUAAAAAAUAAUAAUUAUAUAUAUAUAUGUAUUAAACUGAUUAGAUACCUCAUAUUGCAUAUAAAUAAAAACCCAUCAGAAGUCAGAAGAGGAGGAUUUUAGUCCUUAUGUUACAUUUACCAGCUGUCGCUCAAUGUUCUCGUUCAUUAAAAAAAAGAUUGGUCUGGAACCCUGGUUCUUAAUCAAGGGAAAAGAAGGUGGGCCCAAGGCAUAUGUAGACUCAAAGCUUCCACAGGGGAGUGUGGGCACAGCCUGGUUAAAAAGCACUAAUUAUCUCUAAUCUCUGACUGUAGAUUAUCAAAUGUAAAGUUAAAGCAUUAAGGAAGCAUGUAAACAUUAUUUUAAAUCCGUAAACCAAUCUCUGCUUUUGUUUUCUCUUUCUCUUUUUUCUUUUUCUUUGCUUAACCUCUCUGAAAGUGCUCCAGUACCAGAACACCCAAUUAAUCAAAGGGAAACAUCUGUAAUAUGUAGCAACUAAAAUAUCACCUUCCUUGUGUGGAUCACAAAGUCCUUGGCAAUCACCUCCAUACUAGACUAGUGAGUAUUGUUGUUCUCAUUUUCCAGAUGGAUAAACAGAGGAUAAAGGCCUUGUUCAGUGUCACACACUUCUGUCACCAACUGAGACACAAUGGAUGUCAGUCUUCUCAUUCCUUCAACAAUAAAGAGCUUUCAAGCGCUUACAGUCAACAAGAACUUGGAAAGAUUACACUGGCUGAAAGGCAUAUACAUGGAGGACAUCCACAAAUAGGAGGAAAUUAACUUGAAGCUGAGUGUCUAACUUCACUGACUCUCAGUGGCAGAGAUAGAAGAAAAGCAAAGUUUUAGCAAGGAAGGGUCUGAAAGAAAAUAAAUUAAAUAUAGCUAAUUAUCAAGUACUGUUUAAUUAUCAAGUACUGUUUUUAGUAAGACAAGUGAAAAAUACUCUUUUUUAGGUGGUAAUUCCUAUCUCUUAAUGGAAUCAUCCAUUCAUUCAAUAAAUACUUAUUGAUUGCCUUUUAUGUGCCAAGUCCUCAUUUCUGUAGUGGAAAUGUAACAAUGAGCAGAGCAGACAAUAAUAGUAAUAACAAUAAUAGCUAAUAUGGCAGGGACCAAUAAUAUAUUAAUAAUUGAUAACUGGUGAAUAAAAUGUCAAAACUCAGUGUGCACUAGCAUUCUCGUUGGGGGUUCAUCCACUAACUAUAACACAGCUAAUCUACUUUGAAAUUCUCCAGCUCUCCGGCUCUCUAUCGAAAAAGCUGCUGUUGCUGAACCUGCUCUUAUGGAUCUAUCCACCAUGAGCAUGGACUGAUUCACUGUCCUGGGAAAGGCAACCAGAAUUGAGAACAUUAUGACUUCUUCACUGUGAUUUUUAAAUUACUAGAACCAGUUCUUCUAACUCUACUUCUUUGUUUCCUACAACUCAAAUACUGAAAGAGAUCGUAAAAUAAAUGCCAUCUAGGGGCACCUGGGUGGCUCAAUCAGUUAAGCAUCUGCCAUCAUGAUCUCAGGGUCCUGGGAUCAAGCCGAGUCAGGCUCCCUGCUCAGCCGGGCGUCUGCUUCUCCCUCUCCCGCUGCCCCUCCCCCUGGCUCGUAUGUUCUCUCUAUCUCAAAACGAAUAUAUAAAAUCUUUAAAAACAAACAAACUAAAACUCUC